rnacentral:lncRNA from 1 species
UAUCAGCAGGGUUAUGGAUUUAAACCUGGAAGGGACAGAGUGGAAAUCCACUGUGAGAAGGUAAGAGUAGUGUUAGUAGAAGUCUACGAAAGCCAUGCUUAUAUUUACUUGAGAGAGGAUUCAGUCACUGGGGUUAACAAUUCAUGUAAACAGAAGCUCCAGAGGAUAGGUUUAUUCCAAUGUGGCCUAGAGAGCAUCAUUCAACAAUCCACAAACCUUUUGACAUUUCUGGGCACUGAAUCUACAAAGACAAAAAAAAAAAAAAAAAAAAAAAAAAAAAAAAAGAAAUCAUUCAGAAAAGAAAUACCAUAUUGCCAUUCAAUCCCUUCUUCUAGAGUUGCCAUUAUCUACCUUAGUGGGAUUUUACUAACCUCCAUCCUCUCUCCUGUCAAUUUUUUUGGCUCUACUCUCAGUGGAAAUGCCACCUCUCUGCUGGAGACUGGGUGAGUACCUCAAGAACUUGGCUUAGGCCUCCACUCCCUGUCAGCAGGUCCAUGUCCUCCACUGUGCUUCAUUGCUUCAGAGAGUGACUCAUAGGCAGCAGUGGCAGAAUUUCACCAUGCAUACUGCUUGCGUUACAAAGACAGAGAGAGAGACAGAGAGAGAGAGAGAGAGAGAGAGAGAGAGAGAGAGAGAGAGAGAGAGAGAGAGAGAGAGAGAGAGAGAGAGAGAGAAAAGGCUUAUGGGUCUCUGCAAAGCCUUAAAUUUUUAAUUUCCAUAAGGCCUCCUCCCUUCUCCUCUCCUAGGACUUUCAGGCCUAGACUUUCCUUCAGCAUCCCAGGCCUCCCUUGUUAUUGUUUAUGCAAGUGGCAUCCAAGGGGCC